UUCCAAUAAAGUAAUUUGCAUGUGCAAAAGUUGUGUAAUAGGUAAAAAUCUAGAUGUUGACGAUCAAGUUUGGCUGAAAUGUUGUUGGCUAAUAAAUCAGUGCACACCUGUGCAUUAAGGAAGUUUCUGGUUAAAGGUUUGCUGUGGUGCAGCCAGUCACAAUCAGCUUCACCACCUGAAACACGUUCAUUUACGGCCCUUAGUUUCAGGCCACUCAUUAAAGCUCAUCUCAGCGAGAUUUCCUUGUUUCCCUGCGGCCUCAUGAGAAAUCCUUGCAUGUCAUUGUAAAUUAGAGGCGAUCAAACAUUCUGUGCCAAACAUCAGAAAGCAGAAGGUGCCAGGAACGUUUCCGGUAUUUGGCAACAAUUAAGCAACGCUGUGAAAAACAAUGACAAGAAGAGAGAAGAGAGGAUGAGAGAGUGUUUUACCUCCGUUCUG